ensembl:lncRNA
CUGCAUGUGAAAUGAGGCGACUGGCUACUCCCCUUGUUUUGCUGAUGUCUGGCAGGGAAGCUCGUCUGCCUAUAGAUCUGUGUUUUGGGGUGAGGAAGUGCAGUAUCAACGGUUCCUCACAAAAUUGAGAGGACACCUAAGCAGGGCUUCUUUAGUUAGCUAAAGAAGGUGCUGAGAAGAGUCAUGGAUGGAACAAGAGAGCACAUGAGAAAUUAGUCGAACAGAUUCUGAAGAAAGGAGACCGUGUACUAUAGAGGAGUUUUGGUGUCAUGGGUAAGCACUAGUUGCAGAAUAAGUGGAGAUUCUUACCUUAUAUUGUGGUGGGAAAAAUGGAAAACCUGCUAGUAUACCAAAUUAAGCAUGAGUGGUUCCAGGGCAAAUUGGAACAGUUCAUCGUAAUCAUCGACUUCCCAUUGGGUGCUUAGUGAGACUGCCAGGGAACAUGGAUGAAUCAGAUCCUCUGCAGAGACAAGAUACUAGGCUGCAAAGUCUCCCAAAGACACAGUUGGCUUGCAAGCAAAAAAGCGAUCUCAUGACAAGGACAGCUAUGUCAUCCUUUUCUCACUCAGAUUCUGAGGUUGUUUCUCAGUCUUUUACAUUCGAUGGACAGAACUGGGAGAAUGCGUUACCGUUAGCUGGUAUGUCCGGGAUGAGCCAGGCCCCCUGUGGAAAGGGAGGUCGCGAUUCUUGAUUUGCAGGGGUCGCAGGCAAAGUGAAGCUGGGAGGGGUUGAUGCUGCCAGUCCAGAGAACGCUGUUGAAAUUGACGUGUCUCCCGCUUCAGACUGUGUGGUUGAAACUGAUCUAGAAGGGGGGAGCAGGCAACUGGGAUGUUUGAGGUGCUACAGGAGAGUUUGACCAUACAGGUUACAAAAAGAGAGAGAAGAUCAGCGGAUACGUUUUACAUGAUGAGCUUGGAAAACUUUUCUGAUCGACCCCUAGAUAUCAGUCUGAAGCGGGGGACACGUCAAUUUCAACAGCGUUCUCUGGACUGGCAGCAUCAACCCCUCCCAGCUUCACUUUGCCUGCGACCCCUGCAAAUCAAGAAUCGCGACCUCCCUUUCCACAGGGGGCCUGGCUCAUCCCGGACAUACCAGCUAACGGUAACGCAUUCUCCCAGUUCUGUCCAUCGAAUGUAAAAGACUGAGAAACAACCUCAGAAUCUGAGUGAGAAAAGGAUGACAUAGCUGUCCUUGUCAUGAGAUCGCUUUUUUGCCUGCAAGCCAACUGUGUCUUUGGGAGACUUUGCAGCCUAGUAUCUUGUCGCUGCAGAGGAUCUGAUUCAUCCAUGUUCCCUGGCAGUCUCACUAAGCACCCAAUGGGAAGUCGAUGAUUACGAUGAACUGUUCCAAUUUUCCCUGGAACCACACAGGUUUAAUUUGGUACACUAGCAGGUUUCCCCUUUUUCCCCACCACAGUAUAAGGUAAGAAUCUCCACUUAUUCUGCAACUAGUGCUUACCCAUGACACCAAAACUCCUCUAUAGUACACGGUCUCCUUUCUUCAGAAUCUGUUCGACUAAUUUCUCAUGUGCUCUCUUGUUCCAUCCAUGACUCUUCUCAGCACCUUCUUUAGCUAACUAAAGAAGCCCUGCUUAGGUGUCCUCUCAAUUUUGUGAGGAACCGUUGAUACUGCACUUCCUUACCCCAAAACACAGAUCUAUAGGCAGACGAGCUUCCCUGCCAGACAUCAGCAAAACAAGGGGAGUAGCCAGUCGCCUUAUUUCUCAUGCAGUUAUAGGCAUGUACGAGUUGACUGAUCUUCUGACCGUUUCUGCUUCUGCCCAGGAUCCAAUGCUCCCAACAUGGACAGCAGAGUCCUGUUGAAUUUCUCUGGUUGGAAUUCCCCCUGGGGGUGGGCAGGGUGUCGUGGGAGACUUUCUGAUCCCCGACAUUCUUAGGAGAUUGUGGGUCAGCUUUGACUCACAGUCAUGUCGCUGAUCAGAGUGAAUGUGAGCAGGGAGUCCAUAGUGUACAAAGUUCUUCUCAAACAGUACUAUGAGGACGGCAGAGGCCUUCUGAUCCUUUGUCGGAAAAGCCCGAGCGUAGCGAGCGAAAUGGUCAGUCACAACAAGCAUGUUCUCAAAUCCCUGUGAAUCUUGCUCGAGUGACAGGAAGUCAGUGCAUACCAAAUCAAGUGGACCUUUACUCGUAAUUUUGUUCGACGGAGCAGCUCUCUGAGGACGAGUCUUGCGAGCAAUGCAUCUGCCACAAUUCCUGACAUACUCCUCAAUAACUGCACCUAUCUUCGGCCGAUAAAAACGGUCCUCGAUGAGCUCUGAUGACUUCUCCGAUCCUAAAUGGCCACAAUCAUCAUGAAGUGACUGGUGUACCAUUCGAACAUAUAUUCUGGGCAAAAUAAGCCGCUGUACCUGAGUGCUACCUGGCCUCUGCACUACUCUACAAAGCACUGACUGGCUCACUUUAACAUUCUCUCUUCUUGAUAACGCGGUUGUGGUAAUGCACAAACUAUUUUCUAUGAGAUGUAUGUCGCUUUGGAGAAAAACAUCUGCUAAAUGAAUAAAUGUAACGCCAAGAACA